rnacentral:rRNA from 1 species
UGGGGAAUCUUGCACAAUGGGGGCAACCCUGAUGCAGCGACGCCGCGUGAGCGAUGAAGCCCUUCGGGGUGUAAAGCUCUUUCGGCAGGAACGAUAAUGACGGUACCUGCAGAAGCAGCUGCGGCUAACUACGUGCCAGCAGCCGCGGUAAUACGUAGGCAGCAAGCGUUGUUCGGAAUUACUGGGCGUAAAGGGUGUGUAGGCGGCUAUGUAAGUGUGGUGUGAAAUCUCCCGGCUUAACCGGGAGGGUGCGCUACAGACUGCAUGGCUAGAGUGCGGGAAAGGGGAGUGGAAUUCCUGGUGUAGCGGUGAAAUGCGUAGAUAUCAGGAGGAACACCGGUGGUGUAGACGGCUCCCUGGACCGUAACUGACGCUGAGACACGAAAGCGUGGGUAGCAAACAG